rnacentral:rRNA from 1 species
UGGAAGUAAAAAUCGUAACAAGGUUUCCGUAGGUGAACCUGCGGAAGGAUCAUUACCGAGUGUAGGGUUCCUAGCGAGCCCACCUCCCACCCGUGUUUACUGUACCUUAGUUGCUUCGGCGGGCCCGCCAUUCAUGGCCGCCGGGGGCUCUCAGCCCCGGGCCCGCGCCCGCCGGAGACACCACGAACUCUGUCUGAUCUAGUGAAGUCUGAGUUGAUUGUAUCGCAAUCAGUUAAAACUUUCAACAAUGGAUCUCUUGGUUCCGGCAUCGAUGAAGAACGCAGCGAAAUGCGAUAACUAGUGUGAAUUGCAGAAUUCCGUGAAUCAUCGAGUCUUUGAACGCACAUUGCGCCCCCUGGUAUUCCGGGGGGCAUGCCUGUCCGAGCGUCAUUGCUGCCCAUCAAGCACGGCUUGUGUGUUGGGUCGUCGUCCCCUCUCCGGGGGGGACGGGCCCCAAAGGCAGCGGCGGCACGCGUCCGAUCCUCGAGCGUAUGGGGCUUUGUCACCCGCUCUGUAGGCCCGGCCGGCGCUUGCCGAACGCAAAUCAAUCUUUCCAGGUGACCUCGAUCAGUACGUACG